AUUGAACGCUGGCGGCAGGCUUAACACAUGCAAGUCGAGCGGAGAUGAGGUGCUUGCACCUUAUCUUAGCGGCGGACGGGUGAGUACUGCUUAGGAAUCUGCCUAUUAGUGGGGGACGACAUUCCGAAAGGAAUGCUAAUACCGCAUACGUCCUACGGGAGAAAGCAGGGGAUCUUCGGACCUUGCGCUAAUAGAUGAGCCUAAGUCGGAUUAGCUAGUGGGUGGGGUAAAGGCCUAGCAAGGCGACGAUCUGUAGCGGGUCUGAGAGGAUGAUCCGACACACUGGGACUGAGACACGGCCCAGACUCCUACGGGAGGCAGCAGUGGGGAAUAUUGGACAAUGGGGGGAACCCUGAUCCAGCCAUGCCGCGUGUGUGAAGAAGGCCUUAUGGUUGUAAAGCACUUUAAGCGAGGAGGAGGCUACUGAGACUAAUACUCUUGGAUAGUGGACGUUACUCGCAGAAUAGGCACCGGCUAACUCUGUGCCAGCAGCCGCGGUAA
rnacentral:rRNA from 1 species